AGGUAAGCUACUAAGAGCGAAUGGUGGAUGCCUUGACUGGUAAAGGCGAUGAAGGACGUACUAGACUGCGAUAAGCUACGGGGAGCUGUCAAGAAGCUUUGAUCCGUAGAUUUCCGAAUGGGGCAACCCAAUGUAUAGAGAUAUACAUUACCUAUAUAGGAGCGAACGAGGGGAAUUGAAACAUCUUAGUACCCUCAGGAAAAGAAAUCAAUAGAGAUUGCGUCAGUAGCGGCGAGCGAAAGCGCAAGAGGGCAAACCCAGUGCUUGCACUGGGGGUUGUAGGACUGCAAUGUGCAAGAGGUAAGUUUAGCAGAACAUUCUGGAAAGUAUAACCAUAGAGGGUGAUAGUCCCGUAUGCGAAAAACAAACCUUAGCUAGCAGUAUCCUGAGUAGGGCGGGACACGAGGAAUCCUGUCUGAAUCCGGGUCGACCACGAUCCAACCCUAAAUACUAAUACCAGAUCGAUAGUGCACAAGUACCGUGAGGGAAAGGUGAAAAGAACUGAGGUGAUCAGAGUGAAAUAGAACCUGAAACCAUUUGCUUACAAUCAUUCAGAGCACUAUGUAGCAAUACAGUGUGAUGGACUGCCUUUUGCAUAAUGAGCCUGCGAGUUGUGGUGUCUGGCAAGGUUAAGCAAACGCGAAGCCGUAGCGAAAGCGAGUCUGAAUAGGGCGCUUAGUCAGAUGCUGCAGACCCGAAACGAAGUGAUCUAUCCAUGAGCAAGUUGAAGCUAGUGUAAGAACUAGUGGAGGACUGAACCCAUAGGCGUUGAAAAGCCCCGGGAUGACUUGUGGAUAGGGGUGAAAGGCCAAUCAAACUUCGUGAUAGCUGGUUCUCUCCGAAAUAUAUUUAGGUAUAGCGUUGUGUCGUAAUAUAAGGGGGUAGAGCACUGAAUGGGCUAGGGCAUACACCAAUGUACCAAACCCUAUCAAACUCCGAAUACCUUAUAUGUAAUCACAGCAGUCAGGCGGCGAGUGAUAAAAUCCGUCGUCAAGAGGGAAACAACCCAGACUACCAGCUAAGGUCCCUAAAUCUUACUUAAGUGGAAAACGAUGUGAAGUUACUUAAACAACCAGGAGGUUGGCUUAGAAGCAGCCAUCCUUUAAAGAAAGCGUAAUAGCUCACUGGUCUAGUGAUUUUGCGCGGAAAAUAUAACGGGGCUAAAGUAAGUACCGAAGCUGUAGACUUGCACACAACUUAGAUUAUUUAAGUUUAGAAUAUGAGAAACUAAGUUAUAUGUUUAGUUAUAUUUUUACUGAUUUUUAUAGAGUAAAGAUAGAAAUAAAACUUAGUAAAAUCAGUAAAAAUAUUCUUAGACUAAAGUUAAGUAGUUUAAGUUGUGUGCAAGUGGUAGGAGAGCGUUCUAUUUGCGUCGAAGGUAUACCGGUAAGGAGUGCUGGAGCGAAUAGAAGUGAGCAUGCAGGCAUGAGUAGCGAUAAUUAAUGUGAGAAUCAUUAACGCCGUAAACCCAAGGUUUCCUACGCGAUGCUCGUCAUCGUAGGGUUAGUCGGGUCCUAAGUCGAGUCCGAAAGGGGUAGACGAUGGCAAAUUGGUUAAUAUUCCAAUACCAACAUUAGUGUGCGAUGGAAGGACGCUUAGGGCUAAGGGGGCUAGCGGAUGGAAGUGCUAGUCUAAGGUCGUAGGAGGUUGUACAGGCAAAUCCGUAUAACAAUACUCCGAGAACUGAAAGGCUUUUUGAAGUCUUCGGAUGGAUAGAAGAACCCCUGAUGCCGUCGAGCCAAGAAAAGUUUCUAAGUUUAGCUAAUGUUGCCCGUACCGUAAACCGACACAGGUGGGUGGGAUGAGUAUUCUAAGGCGCGUGGAAGAACUCUCUUUAAGGAACUCUGCAAAAUAGCACCGUAUCUUCGGUAUAAGGUGUGGUUAGCUUCGUACUAGGAUUUACUCCGAAAGCGAAGAAACUUACAACAAAGAGUCCCUCCCGACUGUUUACCAAAAACACAGCACUCUGCUAACUCGUAAGAGGAUGUAUAGGGUGUGACGCCUGCCCGGUGCUCGAAGGUUAAUUGAUGGGGUUAGCAUUAGCGAAGCUCUUGAUCGAAGCCCGAGUAAACGGCGGCCGUAACUAUAACGGUCCUAAGGUAGCGAAAUUCCUUGUCGGUUAAAUACCGACCUGCAUGAAUGGCGUAACGAGAUGGGAGCUGUCUCAAAGAGGGAUCCAGUGAAAUUGUAGUGGAGGUGAAAAUUCCUCCUACCCGCGGCAAGACGGAAAGACCCCGUGGAC
rnacentral:rRNA from 1 species